UCGCGCAACCUUUGCAAUACACGCAAGUGUGACAGGGCUAUCCCGAGUGCCGUCCGCUGAGGAUGGCUUUUACCCAGUCUAGAAAGCUGGGGGAAUAAGGAGAGGGCAAGUCUGGUGUCAGCCGCCGCGGUAAUACCAGCUCUCCGAGUGGUGUGGAUGUUUAUUGGGCCUAAAGCAUCCGUAGCUGGCCAAGUUAGUCCCCUGUUAAACCCACCGAAUUAAUCGUUGGCGUGCGGGGGAUACUGCUCGGCUAGGGGGCGGGAGAGGCAGACGGUAUUUUCGGGGUAGGGGUGAAAUCCUAUAAUCCCGGGAAGACCACCAGUGGCGAAGGCUGUCUGCUAGAACGCGCCCGACGGUGAGGGAUGAAAGCUGGGGGAGCGAACCGGAUUAGAUACCCGGGUAGUCCCAGCUGUAAACGAUGCAGGCUAGGUGUUUGGACGGCCACGUGCCGUUCUAGUGCCGCAGGGAAGCUGUUAAGCCUGCCGCCUGGGGAGUACGGUCGCAAGAUUGAAACUUAAAGGAAUUGGCGGGGGAGCAACCG
rnacentral:rRNA from 1 species